GGCUGGUCCGAUGGUAGUGGGUUAUCAGAACUUAUUAACAUUAGUGUCACUGAAGUUGGCAUUGAACCCCCACUGCUAAAUUUGACUGGCUUUAA
rnacentral:Y_RNA from 1 species